rnacentral:rRNA from 1 species
UUUCCUACGGGGGGCAGCAGUGAGGAAUAUUGGUCAAUGGCCGAGAGGCUGAACCAGCCAAGUCGCGUGAGGGAAGAAUGUCCUAUGGAUUGUAAACCUCUUUUGUCAGGGAGCAAAGUCACCCACGUGUGGGUGUUGGAGAGUACCUGAAGAAAAAGCAUCGGCUAACUCCGUGCCAGCAGCCGCGGUAAUACGGAGGAUGCGAGCGUUAUCCGGAUUUAUUGGGUUUAAAGGGUGCGUAGGCGGGGUAUCAAGGCAGAGGAAAAAUCGGGGAGAGC